rnacentral:lncRNA from 12 species
AUGAGGAAGAAUGAGGAGAACAGGAAUGCUUCCUAUAUAUCCUGGCUUUCCAGAGAUCUAAGGUUGUGUGCCAAACUUGUCUUUAGGUCCUGGAGUUGGAAGUCUUGGAAGGAAGGUGAAGUUGUGGAUGUGAUAAUAACGUGGAUUAAGCUUGAUCAUCUACACAAUCUAAAAGUAUUUGGGGUCAGGAGAGCUGAGAGGACGAUUAAUUCAACAACCAUCAAGGCAUAUGACAGCCCUCAAGGCAGCUCGGAGCCGCUCCACUCACCAGCUGCUUCUGGACGCAUUUGCCAAGUUGCCAGACAUUGUGGAAAGAGCAGUUGCUUCCCAUAUGACAUCUGUGAUAUCAGGAAAGCAGCGAGUGCUGGGAUAGCUGGACCUGUGCCAUGUGCCCAAUGA